AGGCGCUGCGGGAGCGGAACGCGGCGAUGCGGAGGUGGGCGGUGGAGCUGGAGAAGUGGGCCGAGGAGCAGCGGAACUUGGAGCUGGAGCUCCGCCUCUUGAUCGAGCUUCGGGAUUUGCAAUCCUCCUCUACGAUUUCGUCUCCAGUUCAAUCUCUGAGAGAAAAGGAACAGCAAAGAAGUAUGGAGGUGAAGCUGCAGGUAUGUGCGCCCAAUUGCAUACUUUCAGAUCACUUCUAGCUUUAAUCUGUUGAUAGGUUGAGUUGAUAUAUUGACAAUGUAAAACUAAAAGAACCGAGGGAAUGGUUAUAGAAUUGUUCUGCUAUUGCUGAGUUCUUAUUCCUGCUGUUCCACAAAAAAAUUCGGUUGUAGAUAUCACCAGUUCAACCCCUAAGAGAGAAAGAAAAGCAAAAAAUUGUGGAAGUGCAGUUGCAGGGACCCAAAAUUGCAGAACAAAAUAGUGAAGUUGGAAUGCCAUCUUCAAUCGAGGAAAAUGAGACAGAGAAGUAGUGUUUCUUCUCCACUUCAAUCUCUCUAUCUCUCUCUUGUUUUGUCACAUGUAAUUUGUGCCUUGAAAUGAAGAAAGUCAAAUUGCUCGUUU